rnacentral:rRNA from 1 species
AGCUCCAAUAGCGUAUAUUAAAGUUGUUGCAGUUAAAACGCUCGUAGUCGGAUUUCGGGGCGGGCCUGCCGGUUUGCCGAUGGGUAUAUACUGGUGGGUGCGUCCUUCCUUCCGGAGACCGCGCCUCCUCUUAACUGAGCGGGCGUGGGAGACGGAUCGUUUACUUUGAAAAAAUCAGAGUGUUUCAAGCAGGCAUUUCGCUUUUGCAUGGAUUAGCAUGGGAUAAUGAAAUAGGACUUUGGUGCUAUUUUGUUGGUUUCGAGCACCGAAGUAAUGAUUAACAGGGACAGUCAGGGGCACUCGUAUUCCGCAGAGAGAGGUGAAAUUCUCAGACCCGCGGAAGACGAACCACUGCGAAAGCAUUUGCCAGGGAUGUUUUCA